AUAUAUUUUUUUUCCUACGCUGCCGCCAAUUAAUGCCAUCGGCGGCAGCGACGCCAAGCAGUGUCACAAAAACAACACCAACACAAAUCAAAAAAGCAAAAAAUUAAGAGUAAAAAGAGCGGCGGCUGCAAAAACAAUUAUAUUUUUGCAAUGUGAGCAUUAAAGAAAAUAAAACUGCUCUUUAAACAAAUAUGCGAACGGCAAACAACAGAAAAAACAUAACAACACGAUGAAGUAGAAGAAGGAAUGAAGGAAAUAAGAGAAGCGGCAGAGAGUCGGAGGUCCCAAAAAAAUUCAGUCAAACGAAGAGUAAAAAGACAACAACAAAAAAUUAGAGUAAAAGCAACGGUAUAACAAAACAAGGAUCGGAGCAGCAGCGGCAGUGAAAAAAAAGAGAAGCAAAGCAGCAGGCAGUCGCACGACGCAGACGACGAUCAGCAGAGAGGAGCGGCAGCGCAACAGGAACCACCUCUCUCUCUCUCUCUCUCACACUCUUGUGCGCUCUUUCUCCCGCUCCCCAGAUACGGAUACAGAUGCCCGAAGUUUGCUUCACAGACAGUGCUUUCCACCAAAGAUCGUACUACUCCAUUGGGGAUCCAUGGGAUAAGCAGUGCAAAAACAUAUUCUAGGGAAAGUAAAUAUGAUAAUAUCCAGCGCUACGAUGGGCCUCGUGGCGCCAAAGCGCCGUUUAUUUGCAACGCAUCUCAGACGCUAAAAGCCAAAGAGAUAGAAUAAUAAUAGUAGGAGCCGCAGUCGCAGCGGUGGGCCAGUGCCAGGGCCAGCACCAGCACCAGCACUCCCCCCCUUCCGAACGCCACCCGCCCCCACCCACAAAUGAGGAGGGGUGGGCAACGACGGGCCAACAACAGGUUGAGGAGCACAUACAUAGGCAAAAGCCCACAACAAAAUCAAAAGCAAAUGCCAGAGCAAAGGCAAAGGCAAAAGCAAAAGCAACAAAAACACGACAAAUAGAAAGAAGCAGACAAAAUAAAACAGAGAAAACCACCAAAACCGCAAAAACAACAAGCAGAGAAGCCACCGAAAGAGAGCGGCAGACCAACCGACCGACCGACCGACCGACCGACCGACAGGACCGACCGGGCAGCCGUGAGAGUAAAAGAGGGAGAGAGUAAUCCAAUCAAAAACCAAACACAAACGCAGCAGAGCAGCAGCAGCCGAGCGGCAGCGAC
rnacentral:sRNA from 1 species